UACGGGGGGGGCAAGCGUUGUUCGGAAUUACUGGGCGUAAAGGGUUCGUAGGUGGCCAACUAAGUCAGACGUGAAAUCCCUCAGCUUAACUGGGGAACUGCGUCUGAGACUGGAUGGCUUGAGUGCAGGAGAGGAACGCGGAAUUCCAGGUGUAGCGGUGAAAUGCGUAGAUAUCGGGAGGAACACCAGUAGCGAAGGCGGCUCGCUGGGCCAUUCCUGACGCUGAAACGCGAAAGCUAGGGGAGCGAACAGG
rnacentral:rRNA from 1 species